rnacentral:tRNA from 1 species
GGGAACGUAGCUCAGCCUGGGAGAGCACACGGCUGAAGACCGUGGUGUCCGGGGUUCAAAGGUUUGGCGACGAAGGAGGCAAACGCUUCGGCGUCAGCUGAAAUUCCCCGCGUUCCCA